CGGCGGCGGGGCGGGAGUGUGCGCGCCUGUCGUCGGCCGCAGCGUGGGGUGGGGCCGAGGACGGCGUCAGUUUGUGGCCGCGCGGCCCGUCCUCUCGCCGGCGACCGCGGGCGUGCGGGCAGGGCCGUUGGCUGGGGCGCCCGGCCCUCUUGAGUGUCCAGGGGUUUCGGGAGCAUGGUCUGAAACCCACGAACCCGGCCCCGCCGCCAUCAGCCGUGCGUCCUGCGCGCGGUGGACGCCCCGCGUUUCUCUGGUUCGCCGUUGUCCGCAGUCAGGGACGGCUUUUUCAAAGGUUUACGUUUGUCUGUGGCCGUUUUCCGCGAGAGGCCCGCAAGGACGCGGCCGCGGUGCGCCGUGUGGAACCUCCGCGGGAAGCCCUCCGGGGCGCCCUCUGCAGGCGGGCGCAUCUCAGGGCCGGCGCCCUCGGAGCGUAAUUCGUCCGCCGUGAGGAGCGCUGUUACUCCAGCCACCCCCAGUACAGUUUUGAUCAUUCCUGAGCUUCCUGUUGGUGAUUUUUUUAAUAUAAAGGCAAGCCAUUGUGAAUGCAUGUUUUUCUUACCCCCGUUUGUCCUUGUAAGGAGCACUCAGACUCCGCGCUUUGUGAUGUGUGCUGACAGCUUGCGCCUCCCUCCUCUUUGUUCCCUCGUGUCCACACCUGUACCCGCUGAGGAGAAAGUCCUGAGGCUCCCUGCUCUGGCAUUGUGAGCCAUAAGACUUUUCCUAUUCUGUGUGAGUGUGUGUGUGUGGAGGGGGGGGGGGGAGGGGAGGGGACAACAGCAUCAUUCUCAACAGGGGAACCCCACCACUUAUUAGUGAGCAGUAAUGUUUUGAAAGAAAUCUUUCUGAGCAGUAAGUCUCAACAGUGGGCUUAAAAUACUCAGUAAGCCAUGUUGGAAACAGAUGUGCUGCCAUCCAGGCUUUGUUUUGUCAUUUAUAGAGCACAGGUGGAGUAGAUUUAGCAUAAUUCUUUAGAGCCCUAGGAUUUUCAGAAUGGUAAAUGAGCAUUGACUUAAUUUAAAGUCGUCAGCUGCAUGAGCCCCAUAAUUAAGAGCGUAAGUCUGUAUAAAGCCUGUUGCAGCUGGCCCGGGGAGGAGGGAGGCGCGCGUUGGAGAACAUGACCAGUUAGAGGAACCAGAGGUUGGAGUGUGAGACAGGAGUUGGUUCCAGGGGCCAGAGCAAUCAGCAUCAGUAC
rnacentral:lncRNA from 1 species